GGGUAACGGGGUGUUAAGGCACGACACCGGAGAGGGAGCCUGAGAAACGGCUACCACAUCCAAGGAUGGCAGCAGGCGCGCAAAUUACCCAAUCCCGACACGGGGAGGUAGUGACAAUAAAUAACAAUACGGGGUUCUUUCGGAUCUCGUAAUUGGAAUGAGUACAAUUUAAAUCUCUUAACGAGGAACAAUUGGAGGGCAAGUCUGGUGCCAGCAGCCGCGGUAAUUCCAGCUCCAAUAGCGUAUAUUAAAGUUGUUGCAGUUAAAAAGCUCGUAGUUGAAUUUCGGGGUUAGUAGGUUGGUCAUGCCUCUGGUAUGUACUGGUCUCACUGAUUCCUCCUUCCUGAUGAACCGUAAUGCCAUUAAUUUGGUGUUGCGGGGAAUUUGGACUGUUACUUUGAAAAAAUUAGAGUGUUUAAAGCAAGCUAACGCUUGAAUACAUUAGCAUGGAAUAAUGAAAUAGGACGUUCGAUCCUAUUUUGUUGGUUUCUAGGAUUGACGUAAUGAUUAAUAGGGAUAGUUGGGGGCAUUAGUAUUCAAUUGUCAGAGGUGAAAUUCUUGGAUUUAUUGAAGACUAACUACUGCGAAAGCAUUUGCCAAGGAUGUUUUCAUUAAUCAAGAACGAAAGUUAGGGGAUCGAAGACGAUCAGAUACC
rnacentral:rRNA from 1 species